rnacentral:rRNA from 1 species
AGAAUCAACGCUGGCGGCGCGCUUAACACAUGCAAGUCGAACGAGAAAGCCGCAAGGUGAGUAAAGUGGCGCACUGGUGAGUAACACGUGGAUAUCUACCUUCUGGUGGGGAAUAACCUGGGGAAACCUGGGCUAAUACCGCAUAAGCUUUAGCGAGGAAAGCCGAAAGGCGCCGGAAGAGGAGUCCGCGGUCGAUUAGCUAGUUGGCAGGGUAAAAGCCUAACCAAGGCGAAGAUCGAUAGCCGGCCUGAGAGGGCACACGGCCACACUGGCACUGAAACACCGGGCCAGACCUCCGUACGGGACGGCAGCGAGGUGGGGAAUCGUUGCACAAGUGGGGAAACCCUGAUGCAGCGACGCCGCGUGAGUGAUGACGUCCCGUUACGGGUAGUAA